ACGGUCUCCGCCAUGACCUAAGGAACAAUUAUGCCAAGCUUUAUCAAGAUUGGUCAGACGGUUUUGGUUUGUACUUACAUACUCUUGACAUUGUGCUUUCUAUUAUAAGAUACUGGUAGAUAUAGUUUUGUUUUUAGUUUUAGAAAAAAUACAAUGCAUAUACAAAUGUUUAAGGUUUGUAUGUUUGUAAAGUGGUUAGGUUUCUAAAAUUUGUUAGGUUUGUAUGUUCAGUUGAUAACUUAGUUCUAAGGUGUUAGUGUUUGUUGGUUGUGCACCAGGCCUACGUGUAAGCGAGGAGUUAAAUUAUUAUUUAUGCUAAUUAAUCCUAGUGCGGUGGGGAUAUCAUGAAUAUUUUUGUUCACGUUUUGAUUGACUGAUAUUUGGGUCUAAAAAUAUCGAUGGUUAAGAUUUUUAGAAAUACAUAGGGAUAUUUGUGAUGUGUAAGGAAUGUUUUAAGCAUUGGUGACAAAAAAAAAUCUUUUGACAUCUUCAAAAUGUGAACAGCCAACACGGCACUGCAAAAAGCAUUGUACCGCUUGUUUAUUCAUAUUCGGUCAUUAUAUUUUUAAAAAACUCAUUGCUUGUAAGUUUAUUUGGGUGCGUUUUUUUUAUGUAUAUCUGGGUUUGUUAUUUUUCGGCACUUGUUAAAAUGUGUGAAGACAUGAAAGUCUAUACAGUGUGGUUUAUUCUAAAUGAUCUUAUAUGUAUUUUUUAAAAUUGCUAUAGAUAUAUCAUGUAUUAUAAACAUAACUGUACUCAUCUCACAGAUUAAACAAGUCCAUCUCGUAUUAGAGAUGAUAGUUCCCUUUUUUUUGUUUGAUGUGUAAGAUAUUUAUAUUUUGUAUUUCAUUAAUCUAUUAAAAGCCAUGUCAAGUAAA